GAUGAACGCUAGCGGCAGGCCUAACACAUGCAAGUCGAGGGAGAAGCCCUUUCGGGGGCCGAAACCGGCGCACGGGUGCGUAACGCGUAUGCAACCUACCUUUCACAGGGGGAUAGCCCGAAGAAAUUUGGAUUAAUACCCCAUAAUAUUAUUGGAUGGCAUCAUUUGAUAAUUAAAACUGCGGUGGUGAAAGAUGGGCAUGCGUCCUAUUAGCUAGUUGGAGUGGUAACGGCACCCCAAGGCUACGAUAGGUAGGGGUCCUGAGAGGGAGAUCCCCCACACUGGUACUGAGACAGGGACCAGACUCCUACGGGAGGCAGCAGUGAGGAAUAUUGGUCAAUGGUCGGAAGACUGAACCAGCCAUGCCGCGUGCAGGAAGAAUGCCUUAUGGGUUGUAAACUGCUUUUAUAUGGGAAGAAUAAGGCGUACGUGUACGUUGAUGACGGUACCAUAUGAAUAAGCAUCGGCUAACUCCGUG
rnacentral:rRNA from 1 species